UUGGAGGGCAAGUCUGGUGCCAGCAGCUGCGGUAAUUCCAGCUCCAAUAGCGUAUAUUAAAGUUGUUGCAGUUAAAAAGCUCGUAGUUGAAUUUCGGGGUCAUCAAGUUGGUCGUGCCACUGGUAUGCACUGGCUUUGCUGGUUCCUCCUUCUUGAAGAACUGUAAUGCUAUUCAUUUAGUGUUGCGGGGAAUCAGGACUGUUACUUUGAAAAAAUUAGAGUGUUUAAAGCAGGUUCACGCUUGAAUACAUUAGCAUGGAAUAAUGAAAUAGGACGUUCGAUUCUAUUUUGUUGGUUUCUAGGAUCAACGUAAUGAUUAAUAGGGAUAGUUGGGGGCAUUAGUAUUCAAUUGUCAGAGGUGAAAUUCUUGGAUUUAUUGAAGACUAACUACUGCGAAAGCAUUUGCCAAGGAUGUUUUCAUUAAUCAAGAACGAAAGUUAGGGGAUCGAAGACGAUCAGAUACCGUCGUAGUCUUAACCAUAAACUAUGCCGACUAGGGAUCGGAUGACGUUAAUUUUUUAAUGACUCAUUCGGCGCCUUACGGGAAAC
rnacentral:rRNA from 1 species